rnacentral:misc_RNA from 1 species
GAUGAAGAACGUAGCGAAAUGCGAUAAGUAAUGUGAAUUGCAGAAUUCCGUGAAUCAUCGAAUCUUUGAACGCACAUUGCGCCCUCUGGUAUUCCGGGGGGCAUGCCUGUCCGAGCGUCAUUUGCAACCCUCAAGCCCGGCUUGUGUGAUGGGUGCCGUCCCCUACGGGACGCGCCCCGAAGGCAAUGGCGGCGUCGCGGUUAUCCGAUCAGCCAAGGUGUAUGGGGCUUUGUCACUCACUUUACGGCCCGGACCGGCGCCAGUCCGAAUCAAUCUUUUUUCUAAAGUUGACCUCGGAUCAGGUAGGGAUACCCGCUGAACUUAAGCAUAUCAAUAAGCGGAGGA